rnacentral:rRNA from 1 species
GACGAAGGUGGCGAGCGUUGUUCGGAAUCAUUGGGCUUAAAGCGCACGUAGGCGGCCUGACAAGUGUCUUGUGAGAUCCCUCGGCUCAACCGAGGAAUUGCUGGGCAUACUGUCAGGCUUGAGGCAGGUAAGGGCGAGUGGAACUCUUGGUGGAGCGGUGGAAUGCGUAGAUAUCAAGAGGAACGCCGGUGGUGAAGACGAUUCGCUGGGCCUGUCCUGACGCUGAGGUGCGAAAGCCAGGGGAG